rnacentral:rRNA from 1 species
UACGUAGGGCGCAAGCGUUGUCCGGAAUUAUUGGGCGUAAAGAGCUCGUAGGCGGCUUGUCACGUCGGGUGUGAAAGCCCGGGGCUUAACCCCGGGUCUGCAUUCGAUACGGGCAGGCUAGAGUGUGGUAGGGGAGAUCGGAAUUCCUGGUGUAGCGGUGAAAUGCGCAGAUAUCAGGAGGAACACCAGCGGCGAAGGCGGCGCUCUGGGCCGGUACUGACACUGAGGAGCGAAAGCGUGGGUAGCAAACAGG